ensembl:lncRNA
CAGAACAGACUGGGGGCCACGACAACUGAACGUCAGUGAGGGUCAUAACCAGAACAGACUGGGGGCCACGACAACUGAACGUCAGUGAGGGUCAUAACUAAAAAGGCAUUGUGCCAAAAGAAAGUAAAAGAGACAUCUGGAUAGAUCUGCUAGUUCCAUUUUCAGAUGGAAAAAAUGAAUUCAGGUUCAAUUGAAUAAAGGCGUUAAUUUCAGGGACUUGUCCAAAACUAAAAACAUGAUUUAAAAGUGUUUCACGUUCAUUCUGACAAUAUUUGUGGUUCUGAACGGUUUCCAACAGUCUGACCGACACGUAGCCUGAAAUCCAGUCAUCUUUGUGCUAACAUUCCACUCCUUGCCAAUCCUUGUCAUGCCAAACAGUGGCAAGGAGUGGAAUGUUAAGACAUCCUGGAUUCCAGGCUACCCAUCAGGCAGGCUGACAGAACAGUGAGGGUGUAUCUUAGCAACGAGGGAACAUGAACUGAAUUAUACCAUUUUAUUACUAAAAACAAAAGGCUUCAUCAUGUUUCAUCUGAAAACAGGCUUUACAUGAGCCUACCCACACGUUAGAAAAAUAGAGUUGCAGUUAGGAAUAUGAUGUAUAUCAUAGCAAAAAUAUACGUGGACCUUUCUCUGUGUGGGGAGGCAGGUAGCCUAGUGGUUAGAGUGGAGAGGCGGCAGGGUAGCCUAGUGGUUAGAGUGGAGGGGCGGCAGGGUAGCCUAGUGGUUAGAGUGGAGGGGCGGCAGGGUAGCCUAGUGGUUAGAGUGGAGGGGCGGCAGGGUAGCCUAGUGGUUAGAGUGGAGGGGCGGCAGGGUAGCCUAGUGGUUAGAGGGGAGGGGCGGCAGGGUAGCCUAGUGGUUAGAGAGGAGGGGCGGCAGGGUAGCCUAGUGGUUAGAGAGGAGGGGCGGCAGGGUAGCCUAGUGGUUAGAGAGGGGCGGCAGGGUAGCCUAGUGGUUAGAGCGUUGAGCUAGUCACCGAAAGGUUACAAGUUCAAAUCCCUGAGCUGACAAGGUACAAAUCUGUUGUUCUGCCCCUGAACAAGGCAGUUAACCCACUGUUCCCCAGUAGGCCGUCAUUGAAAAUAAGAAUUUGUUCUUAACUGACCUUGUUAAACAAAGGUAAUAAAAAAAAAAUGGGUCCUACUUCUCAGGGCUCAGUCCUACUUCUCAGGGCUCAGUCCUACUUCUCAGGGCUCAGUCCUACUUCUCAGGGCUCAGUCCUACUUCUCAGGGCUCAGUCCUACUUCUCAGGGCUCAGUCCUACUUCUCAGGGCUCAGUCCUACUUCUCAGGGCUCAGUCCUACUUCUCAGGGCUCAGGGGUCAGUCCUACUUCUCAGGGCUCAGGGGUCAGUCCUAGUUCUCAGGGUCAACAUACUGCCAUCUAACAGGCUCUGUCCAACACACAGAGGAGGUUCAACAUACUGCCAUCUAUCCUGACAGGCUCUAUCCAACACACAACAUACUGCCAUCUAUCCUGACAGGAUCUAUCCAACACACAACAUACUGCCAUCUAUCCUGACAGGAUCUGUCCAACACACAACAUACUGCCAUCUAUCCUGACAGGCUCUGUCCAACACACAACAUACUGCCAUCUAUCCUGACAGGCUCUGCCCAACACACAACAUACUGCCAUCUAUCCAACACACAACAUACUACCAUCUAUCCAACACACAACAUACUGCCAUCUAUCCUGACAGGCUCUGUCCAACACACCACAUACUACCAUCUGUCCAACACACAACAUACUGCCAUCUAUCCUGACAGGCUCUGUCCAACACACAACAUACUGCCAUCUAUCCAACACACAACAUACUGCCAUCUAUCCUGACAGGAUCUGUCCAACACACAACAUACUGCCAUCUAUCCUGACAGGAUCUGUCCAACACACAACAUACUGACAUCUAUCCUGACAGGAUCUGUCCAACACACAACAUACUGACAUCUAUCCUGACAGGAUCUGUCCAACACACAGAGUGGUGUUGUUUUUCUACUGCUUAUGAAGCUGCUGGUGACUGGUUGUAUUCUUGGAUUCUACAUGAAAUGCUUCACUUAGGCUAGACUGGUCUAUGUUAGAGCAGAAACUGUGUGGCAGUGUUUACUAGGGUCUUCCCAGACAUACUGUAGUAGAUUCCUUUUGUGGUCCACAUUCAGGAUUAAACAGAAGUCUAAACAAACGGAUGGAUCUGGCUUAAGACGGCACUACGCUAGUUUUCUGAGACACACAAUUAUUCAAGGACGUUACCAGCACAAAGAACAACUAUAAAACAAACGGUUUGUAGUUCCAUCUGUACAAGAGACAGAAACACUGAAGUUAAAUUAUUCCUCUCAUUUAGCUCUCCCUCAACAUACUGUUCCACUGUCUGUUCCAUCAACCAGAGUUCAAUAACAGAACUAUUCUCUGGACCGGGACACAGAACCACCGUCUGUUCCAUCAACCAGAGUUCAAUAACAGAACUAUUCUCUGGACCGGGACACAGAACCACUGUCUGUUCCAUCAACCAGAGUUCAAUAACAGAACUAUACUCUGGACCGGGACACAGAACCACCGUCUGUUCCAUCAACCAGAGUUCAAUAACAGAACUAUUCUCUGGACACAGAACCACCGUCUGUUCCAUCAACCAGAGUUCAAUAACAGAACCAC